ACAAUUAUAAAAAGAUAGUAACAAAGCACAAUCAUUGCUUGUUGAACAUAUGUUCGAAACAGCCAGGGAAUGCAAAGAGAAUACAGAAAGGUUGUUGUUUUUCUGUUCAUCUUUCUUUCUUAUUCUCCAUCUUUUUUUCUCCUGUCCUCUCUUGUACGAAAA
rnacentral:ribozyme from 14 species